UACGAAGGGGGCUAGCGUUGCUCGGAAUCACUGGGCGUAAAGCGCACGUAGGCGGAUUGUUAAGUCAGGGGUGAAAUCCUGGAGCUCAACUCCAGAACUGCCUUUGAUACUGGCGAUCUUGAGUCCGGGAGAGGUGAGUGGAACUGCGAGUGUAGAGGUGAAAUUCGUAGAUAUUCGCAAGAACACCAGUGGCGAAGGCGGCUCACUGGCCCGGUACUGACGCUGAGGUGCGAAAGCGUGGGAGCAACAGG
rnacentral:rRNA from 1 species